UGUCAGAGGAGUAAAGCGGUCUGUUUUUAUAAUGGUCUAAAAAAAAGGAACAAACACAAAAGUUUAUAUUUUUAAUCUUUAAUCUAAGUUUUUAAUUUUUAAUCUAAGUUUUAGAUCUACUAUUUGCAGGAUUUUUAUGCUUUUAUUUAUUUUCUUACUUCCUUAUCUAGGAUGGGUGGGAGGCAGUGUGAGGGCAGCACUGACCCAAAAACACGGCACCGACCCCGAGGGCUGGCCUCUUCACGGGUGUUGCCAUAGCUACACACGGCAGGGCUGCCUGGGAUGAAAACAGGAUUGCUGUGAUGACGCUGAUGGUGUUGCUUGUCAUGGUUUUCCCCGCGGCUCUCGCAUCAGGUCCACCAUCCCGAGCUCACGACCUCUGUCACCUCCCCCGAGGAGGCUCUUGCCAGGUCCUGCAUUUGCCCCUGAACCCAUCUGAACGUCUCCUCACUGCUGCAUUGGAUUUCAGUGUUUUGAUCAGGUAAUGUUAAAGUCAGAGGGGACACCCCUGCUGUUUUCAGGGAGAGCAGAACAGGGGGAAGCUAUGUCAUCCACUGAGAGAAAUGCGUUUUGACUUAUCUCCCCUUAAGCCCCUCGUUGUUAUUCAGAAAGUCCGAACUCUGCUCUAUCGCGGCUGUGCAGCUGAAUGUAAAAUGGAUUUUCUGAGAGUCAACAAACUGAGCUUUGAAUGCUUAUAUUUGCUUUUUUUGAUUGAUUAUACACAUAAAAUGAUGUCAUACAUUUGUGAUUGAGUUGGAUUUUUGUUUAAGACAAAAUUGAACACUUCUGGAAAAAAACAAUUGGCCUUGAAACUCAGAUCACUUUGGAGCAUAAAUACAGUACAAAAAUUGUGCAUGAAAGUCCCAAUCUGAUCACCUUUAAGCUAUUUUAAAAACAUUGUCUUUUAAUUAUGAUUAUGCCCUUUGAGCCAAAAAAAAAAA